rnacentral:rRNA from 1 species
UAUGUAGGGUGCAAGCGUUGUCCGGAAUUAUUGGGCGUAAAGAGCUCGUAGGCGGUCUGUCGCGUCGGCUGUGAAAACCCGGAGCUCAACUCCGGGCCUGCAGUCGAUACGGGCAGACUGGAGUUCGGCAGGGGAGACUGGAAUUCCUGGUGUAGCGGUGAAAUGCGCAGAUAUCAGGAGGAACACCGGUGGCGAAGGCGGGUCUCUGGGCCGAUACUGACGCUGAGGAGCGAAAGCGUGGGGAGCGAACAGG